rnacentral:tRNA from 1 species
AAGCCCCGGCAGAAACUAAUCUGCUUUGUCGAGGUUUGCGGACUCGAUUCAAGCAG